AACUGGAGGGAAGGUGGGGAUGACGUCAAAUCAUCAUGCCCCUUAUGAGUUGGGCUACACACGUGCUACAAUGGACGGUACAAAGGGCAGCGAGACCGCGAGGUGGAGCCAAUCCCAUAAAGCCGUUCCCAGUUCGGAUUGCAGGCUGCAACUCGCCUGCAUGAAGUCGGAAUCGCUAGUAAUCGCAGGUCAGCAUACUGCGGUGAAUACGUUCCCGGGUCUUGUACACACCGCCCGUCACACCACGAGAGUUUGCAACACCCGAAGCCGGUGAGGUAACCGCAAGGAGCCAGCCGUCGAAGGUGGGGUAGAUGAUUGGGGUGAAGU
rnacentral:rRNA from 1 species